AUUCGUCGACAACAGAGUCUGAUCCUGGCUCAGGACGAACGCUGGCGGCGUGCCUAAUACAUGCAAGUCGAGCGGAACCAGGGGAGCUUGCUCCCUUGGUUUAGCGGCGGACGGGUGAGUAACACGUGGGCAACCUGCCCUGCAGAUCGGGAUAACUCCGGGAAACCGGUGCUAAUACCGAAUAGUUUGCGGCCUCUCAUGAGGCUGCACGGAAAGACGGUUUCGGCUGUCACUGCAGGAUGGGCCCGCGGCGCAUUAGCUAGUUGGUGGGGUAACGGCCCACCAAGGCGACGAUGCGUAGCCGACCUGAGAGGGUGAUCGGCCACACUGGGACUGAGACACGGCCCAGACUCCUACGGGAGGCAGCAGUAGGGAAUCUUCCGCAAUGGACGAAAGUCUGACGGAGCAACGCCGCGUGAGUGAAGAAGGUUUUCGGAUCGUAAAACUCUGUUGUGAGGGAAGAACAAGUACCACGUAACUACUGGUACCUUGACGGUACCUCACCAGAAAGCCACGGCUAACUACGUGCCAGCAGCCGCGGUAAUACGUAGGUGGCAAGCGUUGUCCGGAAUUAUUGGGCGUAAAGCGCGCGCAGGCGGUCCUUUAAGUCUGAUGUGAAAGCCCACGGCUCAACCGUGGAGGGUCAUUGGAAACUGGGGGACUUGAGUGCAGAAGAGGAAAGUGGAAUUCCACGUGUA
rnacentral:rRNA from 1 species